UUUAUUACAGAUACAGGAAGUUAUUCAGGUUUUGUUCAGAUAGCAGGUCUUAAUGUACAAUGUGGAUUUUUUGGUGAAAUCAGAUUUUUUUUUGUGUGCUUGCUCAUAAUACACAUUAAAUACAACUUCUAUCAGUUUUGAGUAUGAACUGAAUGUGACCCUGAAAGUGACCCACAUGAAAAAAAGAGGUGCUGAUGUAAUACGGGACCACGCAGACACGCACUGUGUUUACGGAAGUAAACAUGUUUUUCCCACCGUUUCUCCUCCUGGGAUGCAGAAUUGUGAC